rnacentral:tRNA from 1 species
UCGUUCUGCAGGGCGAGGCUGGCGACCCGGGCCCGCUCGUACCGGGUCGACUCCCGGGGCUUCCCAUCGGUGCCCGCGAUCCACCAGCGGCUGGGCGAA